rnacentral:tRNA from 1 species
GGUUCCGUAGCUCAGCAGGUUAGAGCGUGUGGCUGUUAACCACAAGGU